CCAGACUCCUACGGGAGGCAGCAGUGGGGGAUAUUGCACAAUGGGGGAAACCCUGAUGCAGCGACGCCGCGUGGGUGAAGAAGUAUUUCGGUAUGUAAAGCCCUAUCAGCAGGGAAGAAAGAAGACGGUACCUGACUAAGAAGCCCCGGCUAACUACGUGCCAGCAGCCGCGGUAAUACGUAGGGGGCGAGCGUUAUCCGGAUUCACUGGGUGUAAAGGGAGCGUAGACGGCCGUGCAAGCCAGGAGUGAAAGCCCGGGGCCCAACCCCGGGACUGCUCUUGGAACUGUGCGGCUAGAGUGCGGGAGGGGCAGGCGGAAUUCCUGGUGUAGCGGUGAAAUGCGUAGAUAUCAGGAGGAACACCGGCGGCGAAGGCGGCCUGCUGGACUGUAACUGACGUUGAGGCUCGAAAGCGUGGGGAGCAAACAGGAUUAGAUACCCCCGUAC
rnacentral:rRNA from 1 species